AAUUAAAUGUGACAAAGACUAAGUAAGCUAUAUUUAAUCACAUUUAGCAGACAGGAAAAAAGCACGCCAGGCAGUGAUUUCCAUUGACGUCACGCAAAUCGACGCAAGAUCCUACCUUGUGUAUGUAUCAUGAGGCCGUCCAGUCUAUGUUUAGUAAUAGUAUGUCAAUGGUCCAAUGUCAAAUAUGAAAUGUUUGAUGUCUGACAUGAAAUCGAUUCUCCAUGAAACGAAUACGAUUACUCUUUGCUGCAAAUUCUGGUGUCUCAAUAAUUGCAAUUAGAAGAAAAGUGUUGAGCGAUCAUCAAAUACAGUCAGUAGAUUACGAGAUUGGCUGUGCUCCAUUACUGGCAAUUAGCCAGCUCAUUAGAGACGAGGUGGCUGACUGGUAUUCUACUAUAUCACCUCACAAGUUGGUUUGUUUAAGUGUUGUGGCGUAAUUGCUUUAAAUAUAAUCCAGCUAUCAACAUGUAGCUUUUUAGCAAACUAAAAAAAGGUUGUUUACCCCCUCUUAA